AAGUUUAUCCAAGACCAGACCUCUCCAAACCCCAAGUACAGAGGAUUCUUCCACGGGGUUAGGGAGAUUGUGUGGGAACUAGGACUGAAGAGGACAUACCAGGACCUCAUGGCCACCGUGCUGAAGCAGGGCUCAAACCAGGCCAUCCGCUUCUUCCUUAUGACCUCCCUGCACAACUGGUACCGAGGGGACAACCCCAACAAGCCCAUGAACCCACUGAUCACUGGAGGCUUCGGAGCUAUUUCGGGCGCAGCCAGUGUCUUUGGAAACACUCCUCUGGACGUGAUUAAGACCCAGAUUCAGGGCCUGGAGGCGCACAAAUACCGCAACACGUGGGACUGUGGCUUGCAGAUCCUGAGGAAGGAAGGGCUCAAGGCAUUCUAUAAGGGCACUGUCCCCCGCCUGGGCCGGGUCUGCCUGGAUGUGGCCAUAGUGUUUAUCAUCUAUGAUGAGGUGGUGAAGCUGCUCAACAAAGUGUGGAAGACGGACUAAGCCUAGAGGGGCCACAAGGGGACAACCCCAGGCACCUCCGGAGUGCCCCACCACCCUUGUCUCAUAUGAAUCCAGUGCUGUAGUGCCAAAAGGCCCCUUCCCCUGUCCCUCGAGCUCUGUGGUCUGCUGUGUGCAUUGUGGCUUUCAAAUCCAUGUGUCCCAUAAUGCCAUGUCCCUGUUGUGGUCUGUGACACCACCACUGUGCCCGGGUGUCUGGCCCAGCCAUGGUUGGGUGUGCAUCUGGCCUGUGACCCUGUGCCCACUUGUCCAUGUGCUUACUGUGAGCACUGUGCCUGUGUUUCAUGUUCUGUGUCAUGUGACCCUGUGCUCCGCCUCCCAGGGUGCCCAUGUGGCCGGGGUCCUC